GGGCCUGUGGCUCAAGUGGCUAGGGCACCAGCCACAUACACCUAAGGUGGUGGGUUCGAAUCCAGCCCAGGCCCA
rnacentral:tRNA from 1 species